rnacentral:pre_miRNA from 1 species
GUGGCGGGGCCACCUCUGGAGCCCUGGAUUCAGCCCCCACAGGAACUCCGGAGCUCUCAGCCUGCA